GAUGAAGAACGUAGCGAAAUGCGAUACGUAAUGUGAAUUGCAAAUUCAGUGAAUCAUCGAGUCUUUGAACGCACAUUGCGCCCCCUGGUAUUCCGGGGGGCAUGCCUGUCCGAGCGUCAUUGCUGCCCUCAAGCACGGCUUGUGUGUUGGGCCCCGUCCUCCGAUCCCGGGGGACGGGCCCGAAAGGCAGCGGCGGCACCGCGUCCGGUCCUCGAGCGUAUGGGGCUUUGUCACCCGCUCUGUAGGCCCGGCCGGCGCUUGCCGAUCAACCCAAAUUUUUAUCCAGGUUGACCUCGGAUCAGGUAGGGAUACCCGCUGAACUUAAGCAUAUCAAUAAGCGGACGA
rnacentral:misc_RNA from 1 species